UGGCAGCAGCUGAUGCUGCAGAGAAGCAGGCAUGACCGGAAUUAAGUGGGCUUGCAGAAUCACAGGCCCCUUGGAGAUCUGUGGGACGGACAGCAAAGAAAAGGAGACCAGAGCCCUGUGGCAGCCUGUCCCCAAGCCACACAGCCAGGAAAUGGCAGGACUGGGACCAGCAGAGAUUGUGGAGGCUGUGAAGAAGGAUUCUGAGCAGGACCUCAGUGAGGCCACUGUCACAGCGAGGCCAGUGUCACAGGACAGAAGCACCAGAGAGCCUGGGUCAUUCCUUGAAGGGCAGCCGUCCAGGAGAGCCACCUGAGGGCAUCAGUCUAUGGCGAAUGAGCAGACCCUCAGAAGGAGCCAACUGGACACAUAAACAGAAGGGAUGAAUGAACAGACCACCCCUUAACAUGGGCUCGCCCAACACAGCUCCUGGCCUGGCGUUUCUCUUCUCCUCAGCAUUUCUGUGCAUUUCCAGUCUUUCCCCAUUUGGUGCAGUCUACAUUUCUGAGAAUAUUCUGGAUCACUUGUUGGAUAAUCAACCAAUGGAACUGCCCAGGGGAGAACCUGAUUAUGCCUAGUAAAGACCAAAUCUAGCCCCAAUCCUCCUUCUUCCAAGCCCACACGGCCACAGCUGGAAAUCCAUUUGCUUCUUAAAUGAGCCAAAAGAUGGCAAUUCUCUUCUUCUUUCAUCCUUUCUGCAC
rnacentral:lncRNA from 1 species